GGGAAACGGGAAGAGGGCCCAGCCCCAGGGCCCGUCACAAACCAGACAAGCUUUCGGGGCA
rfam:Otolemur garnettii contig136285, whole genome shotgun sequence.